CUCGAACUUGACCGGUUUUAUUUAUUUAUUCUAAAUUUACUUCAUUUUAACCGUUUGAUUCACUUUGCAGCACAAGCCACAACUUUUGACAGGAUCAAAAAACGCUAAGACUAUGCGAGAAGCACAAGAUACUGCAAAGAAAGCCAGAAAACUCGUCGCCAAAACUGAAAAAAAGGUACCUAUUUA